ACGGUUACCUUGUUACGACUUAGCCCCAGUCACCGAUUUCGCUCUAGGGCGCGCCUCCCGGCGACGCACUUCAAGCGCCCUCGGCUCCCAUGGCUUGACGGGCGGUGUGUACAAGGCCCGGGAACGUAUUCACCGCGCCAUGGCUGAUGCGCGAUUACUAGCGAAUCCAGCUUCACGGAGUCGGGUUGCAGACUCCGAUCCGAACUGAGAGGGGCUUUCGGGUUCCGCUCGGCGUCGCCGCCUGGCUUCCCGCUGUACCCCCCAUUGUAACACGUGUGUCGCCCCGGACGUAAGGGCCGUGCUGAUUUGACGUCAUCCCCGCCUUCCUCGCGGCUUGCGCCGGCAGUCCGUGCAGAGUCCCCAGCCCCACCUGCUGGCAACUGCACGCGGGGGUUGCGCUCGUUAUGGCACUUAAGCCGACACCUCACGGCACGAGCUGACGACAACCAUGCAGCACCUCG
rnacentral:rRNA from 1 species